rnacentral:lncRNA from 1 species
GAGUUCUGGAGUCUGAGAAGUCAAGGAUCAGGGUGCUGGCCUAUUCAGUUCCUGGUAAGGGCUCUCUUCCUGGCUUGCAGUUGAACUUCUUGCUGUGUCUUCACAAGCCUGCCCUGCCCUCCCUCCUGUGCCUAUAAAGACCCCAGACUCAGUCGGUAGAGGGAAGAGAAGCAGCUUGACUGGAGAGAGGUGACUUGACUUCAGAGGGAUGGCAGGACUUUGGAGGAGAGACAACUUUACUUUGGAGAGACUGCUUGACUUCAGGGAAGAGCUGACCUGAGACAGCUGAACUUUGGGGGAAGAUUACCUGCCUGUCCUGUCCCCUCUCCAGCUCUCCUCUCCACUAGAGCCAUUUCCAUUGCUAAAUAAAAUUCUCCACUUCCACCAUC